rnacentral:SRP_RNA from 1 species
UGCCGGUCUUCCCACACCGUUUUUUUCGUGAACCCCGUCAGGCCCGGAAGGGAGCAGCGGCAGCGAAAACGGCGGGUGCUGGGGCCGGGCUGGUGGGG